AUCGAAAGACCUUGCGCUUUGGGAGCGGCCGAUGUCUGAUUAGCUAGUUGGUGGGGUAAAGGCCUACCAAGGCGACGAUCAGUAGUUGGUCUGAGAGGACGACCAGCCACACUGGGACUGAGACACGGCCCAGACUCCUACGGGAGGCAGCAGUGGGGAAUUUUGGACAAUGGGCGCNNNNNGGAUCCAGCAAUGCCGCGUGAGUGAAGAAGGCUUCGGGUUGUAAAGCUCUUUCAGUCGAGAAGAAAAAGCUGCAGUGAAUAACUGUAGUUCAUGACGGUAUCGACAGAAGAAGCACCGGCUAACUACGUGCCAGCAGCCGCGGUAAUACGUAGGGUGCGAGCGUUAAUCGGAAUUACUGGGCGUAAAGGGUGCGCAGGCGGCUUUGUAAGUCAGAUGUGAAAUCCCCGGGCUUAACCUGGGAAUUGCGUUUGAAA
rnacentral:rRNA from 1 species